rnacentral:rRNA from 1 species
GACGAACGCUGGCGGCGUGCUUAACACAUGCAAGUCGAACGGAAAGGCCCUGCUUUUGUGGGGUGCUCGAGUGGCGAACGGGUGAGUAACACGUGAGUAACCUGCCCUUGACUUUGGGGUAACUUAAGGAAACUGAGGCUCAUACCGGAUAGGAGCUCCUGCUGCAUGGUGGGGGUUGGAUAGUUUCGGCGGUUGGGGAUGGACUCGCGGCUUAUCAGCUUGUUGGUGGGGUAGUGGCUUACCAAGGCUGUGACGGCUAGCCGGCCUGAGAGGGUGAACGGCCACAUUGGGAGUGAGAUACGGCCCAGACUCACACGGGAGGGAGGAGGGGGGAAUAUUGAACAAAGGGUGGAAGAAUGAUGCGGCAACGCCGGGUGCGGGAGGAAGGCCUUCGGGUGGGAAACCGCUUUCGCCUGUGACGAAGCGUGAGUGACGGUAAUGGGUAAAGAAGCACCGGCUAACUAGGU